rnacentral:rRNA from 1 species
AACAAACGCUGGCGGCGUGCCUAACACAUGCAAGUCGUACGAGAAAGUUGGCUUCGGCCGAUGAGUAAAGUGGCGCACGGGUGAGUAACGCGUGGAUAAUCUACCCUUUAGUCUGGAAUAACUUACCGAAAGGUGAACUAAUACCGGAUAAUAUCCCGAUUUCCUCGGAGAACGGGAUCAAAGAAGGCCUCUGCUUGCAAGCUUUUGCUGAAGGAUGAGUCCGCGUACCAUUAGCUAGUUGGUAGGGUAACGGCCUACCAAGGUUAUGAUGGUUAGCUGGUCUGAGAGGAUGAUCAGCCACACUGGAACUGAGACACGGUCCAGACUCCUACGGGUGGCAG